rnacentral:rRNA from 1 species
CCAGACUCCUACGGGAGGCAGCAGUGAGGAAUAUUGGUCAAUGGGCGCGAGCCUGAACCAGCCAAGUCGCGUGAGGGAUGACGGCCCUACGGGUUGUAAACCUCUUUUGUCGGGGAGCAAAUUCCGCCACGUGUGGCGGAGUCGAGAGUACCCGAAGAAAAAGCAUCGGCUAACUCCGUGCCAGCAGCCGCGGUAAUACGGAGGAUGCGAGCGUUAUCCGGAUUUAUUGGGUUUAAAGGGUGCGUAGGCGGUCCGUUAGGUCAGCGGUAAAAUUGGGGGGCCCAACCCCGUCGAGCCGUUGAAACUGGCAGACUUGAGUUGGCGAGAAGUACGCGGAAUGCGCGGUGUAGCGGUGAAAUGCAUAGAUAUCGCGCAGAACUCCGAUUGCGAAGGCAGCAUACCGGCGCCCAACUGACGCUGAAGCACGAAAGCGUGGGUAUCGAACAGGAUUAGAUACCCCGGUA